UCAAUGCCUUGUCCAUUUGAUAAGGGAUCAUAUAUUCCUCCAUUCUAGAUAUCAUAUUGACUGAGACAUGGAUUAAAUCAUUCUCUCUGUCCAUUUGUUGUUUCCCAAUUUCCUAUUUAUGAUGACCGACUAAUUGAACAGAUCAAAUCAGUCCUGGCUUGGCCAAGAACUCACAUGUAUCAUCAUUAAAAUCAUCGAGGGGCCCAUAGAUAUGGAUUUCAUCCCGAAGGUAAAAGGAAUGUAUAAACUUCGACUCAUACAACUUGUUCUACUACUUGUUGAAUCAUACACAAAGGCACGUUUUAUAACAUCGAGUUACCAAUGCGUUUUCAUGCAAUCGAUGUGUAACCAACUCAUAGUAACAACUCAUAUCUCUAGGUUUGAAGAAUAUAAGAUGUUAUCAUCUCCUAAUCACUCAUGAUAAACUCCAUGAAGUGAUUCCAAUGAGCAUGGGUUGAAUCCAAAAUUUAGAACUUAUGAGCACUCAUAAGUGUUGUAGCACCACUUUGUCCAACAUCUUGGACCUCUACAAGCCAACCCAUUACAAUCUUGAUUCAUAUCUAUGUACAACAUAUGACCGACUGUGGAUGGUUUGAAUAACUUAGUCAUUUAGGAAAACUGACCUAGUUAUUCCUGAAGUCAAAAUAUGCAAAGAGAAACACAACAAUAACCGAAUCCAAUAUGGUCUCAGAACUUAUUAAUAUAAUUAAACCAUCUUUUAUUUAUCACCAUAAUGAUUACCCAUCAUUCAUUGCAUACUGUUUCAAACUAUCAACUUUAUACUUGAAUUAAAACAAUAUAUGUCCCAUGCUUCAAGCAUGUACACUAUGUUUUCUAAACACUAGUGUUCCAUACACCAAGUAUGCAUACUAAGUUUGUCAAUGAUCUUUACUUUGUGAAAUAGAUCGAUUGAACAUAAUUCCACAGAUUCUCAUUUCACAGUUCCAAUUCCUUACCGCAAAUGUAAGAAUUCCAAAUUCUUGCCAUUUACCUAAAUCUGUUAGAUUCUAAACUUAUAUGAAUUGGUCCUCUUGUAAUGAUUAUGCAUAAAGUUACAAAGACUUGUCAACAUACAUUACAGAGCAUUCCAAUGGAGACCAACUCCAUGGAACCGAAGUCACAUAUUCAAAGUUCAUUGCCUUUGAACAUUCUUCUUGCAUUAAGUUUCUUAAUCUUACAAAGAUUUAAUGAAUAACUUCCACCUAUGGGAACAUUUCCAUAUUCACCUUUUGACUAUUACUCUUGAACAAGAUUUAAUCAAUAUGGUCUUUUCAAAAAUAACAUUGUCACACCUCGAAACCGAAGGCGGAAACGUUCCACGGCGGAGAAGGUCAUGUAAUGUAACACAACCAAUGUACAUAGCAAGCAUAGUAAACACAACCAUUACAUUACAUAGGAAUAUUUACAUUUGUUUGAAAGUAAUGUAAUACAUGUUUAUAUAUAUACAUCAGUAUAACAAAAGUAUAGACGAGACUUCUAUAUGCACCUCCUUCUCCAAAAGAACGCGUGAUACCUGUCUAACGACAACCUAAGAAUACAAGCAGUUUUAAAAAUAUCAGCAUAAAGCUGGUGAGUUCAUAAGCGAUUUGUUUCUGGUAAAAGAAUAUGUUUCCUUUGGUUUUAUGAAAAGUUGUUACCCAAGAAAAUCCCAUAUUUUCUUAUGAAAGUAGUUUGGUUAUCCAUUUGUUAAUCAUCCUGUUUAUGAAAAGUUAAGUUAUCCCAGGAAAAACCCUUAUUUUCCUUAAAGUUGGUGGUUGGUUAUCGAUCCGGAAUGAAGUGUACAAGUAUAUACCAUACUUGCAAUGUUGAGUGAAGUUUCCUGAAGGCCUGGUUAUCCUUGAAAAGUACAUUAGUUUUAACAUGUAUAUAAAACUAAUAAGUAGGUAGUAAACUAAUUCCUAAGGGUAUUAGUUCACUAGGUUGAUUAUUACUAAAAGUAAAUCUCCAUUAUCUAAGUUAGCGAGUUCUAUAACCAUAUGAUAAACUAGAUAUGGCAAUAAGAAGUCCAAUAUCAUUUUAUGACUUUUGUCACCCGUAGACCUGCCGGUCCCACUAUAGCUAGCAGCAAGGUGCGGGGUAGUUAGCCCCAUAUAGAUCUAUACACUCAAGUCACGCUCUCCUUCCAGGAGAUUCUGGUUACAGGGGUGGUCCUCCACUCGUGUAUCUCUGUGGGUUGUUACUGAGGACGUGUUUCCAAUCUUAUUGUCACACCCCAAAACCAAGAACGGCGGAAAUGUUCUGGGGCGGAGGACGUCAUGUACAGUAGCACAACAAUGAAAAGUAGUAAACAAGCAACAACAUCAUCCAUUGCAUUAAUAAUAUAAUUAUUAUACAAGUGUGUUCUGUCAAUUUUUGAUAAACACUAAAACAUAAAUCAAAAUGAAAGAUGCGUCUUGAUCGAGCACCAUCUUCCCUGAACCUUGCAUCGGUACCUGUCUAUGGUUGACCUGAGGAUACAAGUUAUUUUGAAAGAGAGUAUCAGCUUUGAAGCUGGUGAAAUCAUAAGUAUUUUAGCGUCUUAAUUUGUAAGUAAGUAUUUGUAUGUGUAUGGAUUGUAAGUAUUAAAAAUCUAUAUGAAUUGUAGUAUUAAAAGUGUAUAUGAAUUGUAAGUAUGAAAAUGUUUGUAAAACAACUGUAAACAUUUGAAAAACCCUAGAAAUCCCUAUGAUUCCUACUAUUAUAACAGGGAGUCUUCUACCAAGACUUAACUGAUCUAUAUGUAGCCUUCUACCAAGGCAUCUAGUGUCUGUGUGUGUCUCUUGUAAGAGUGUGUAUUUUCCCAAGUCUGACUAUCAUUAACCAAAAAUAUAGUUUCUACAUUACCGUGCGUCGUGUGAAUGUUCACGAAGUGAAUGUAAUGGGAAAAUGAAAUAGUACUAUGGUGUAGUGUCGAACUACAACCGUACCAAUUACCUAAAGUCUAGGGUAAUUCUUCUAAGUAGUGUAGCAUUUGAAAUAAAUAACUACAUCGGUACUCAAUUGCCUUAUUUGAUGGAUAAGGUAUAAUGUGAUGGCUAGAUCCCAGGUUAAACGCUCCCCUAUCAAAGGGAUUUUGGGACCUACCUACGACCCCUGCUUGUAUGCAAGCCGUGUGCAUCCACAUUACUAUGAUCAUGUAUACUCGAUAUAACUAUCAUAAUUGCGUUGUGAUUCAUCGGUAUAGUUAGAUCCUGAACUUGUUCCAUGCUAUACCACCUAGUGACAUCUGUCCUAUGUAUAUGUAAGCGUACUCAUGUAAGUGAUCAUGUAGUUGUACUCAUGUAAGUGUGAUCAUGCAAACAUAUCUAUGUAAUAGUAUAGUAAUGUACUGUAAUGUUCUAUGUGUGCUAGCUGUAAUGUGUGUUCUCUCUUUAUCUAGCAUGUAUAGUAAUGUACUGUAAUGUUCUAGCUGUAAUGUAUGCUCUCUUUAUCUAGCAAGUAUAGUAAUGUAUAGUAAUGUUCUAGAAAGUAUUGACUCAUGAGUGAACUGACUCAUUGUAUGAUAUCGCGUUCUAGUAAUAGUUCUAGUAUCUUCCAAAACUACCCAUAUGGUAGUUUACUAGUAAUCUAACUGGUACGUAUGGACAUGGAUGUAUACCCUUGCUACCCAAGGGCAUUGGAUGAACUGGAAGCACCUUUAUGACUAUAUAUGUACACAUGAUAUUGAUGGGUUUUGAGCAUUCUAACACUUCCUAAGUGUACAUGCAACCCUAAUAACCUUGGAUCUAUGUUUGUCUAAUUAUCAUGCAAAGUUGAAUUCCAAGGUUAUAUUCCUAUCUAGCAUACAUGGGGAACAAUUUCUAACUUGAAUGAAAGAUAGAAUAACAUACCUUGUUUUUGCUUAUGUUCCUUGAAACCUUGUGAGCCUAGCACCCCAAGUGUGAUGCCUCAAAUGCUUCACACAACACCAAAUGCUCUUGGAAAGACUCUUGAGAUAAUAUACACUUCUCAAAAUCGGCCAAGCCCUCUAGUUUCUUAGUCUCUAACUUGUGUAGCCAAUUUUGUGGAGAAUGGGUCUCUUAUAUAGUGUUGACACAUCUAGGGUUACACCAUGUAAACCCUAAUGUGUCAUGACUCUUCAUUUCCAUGACCCAUGGGUUUGUAACUCCCAUGGAGCAUCCAUGGAGCAUCCUAUGGGUAGAACCCAACUUGAUAAUCCAUGGAGCCUCUUAGCCCACUAUACAAGAUAUGGAUGAUUUACAUAAUCAACCCAUAUAUUUAAUUAGUUAUCCUUUGAUCACUUAAUUAAUUCCAAAUUAAUUCUUUGAUCAACUAAUCAAAUAAUAUUAUUAAUAUAUUAGAACUUAUAAUAUAUUAAUAAUCUCCAAGUGUUAUUUCUCUCAUUUAGUCUAUCCAAUUGCAUGGUGCCAUGCAACCCAAAUGGACCAUGCCGGGUCGGGUCAAGUACAAGCCCGAAAUAGUUAUGGACU
rnacentral:lncRNA from 1 species